UAGCAAUAUUUCUGAGGAUGAAUUACAUCCUAGUACUCUAUUGCUUGUUAGAAAUGUGGAAACUGUAAGUUAGUGGGUGGGGAAAAAUUCAAAGAUAAAUUUGUUUGACCAGAUUUAACAUGUAAUCUUGCAACUUUGAUGAAGCAAAUGUGCCCUGUUAUGUCCUGGUACGCAUCUUUGAAGGUGCCCUGGGAUGCCCUCCAACUGGAUUCCUAAUACAUCUGCUUUUGUUUAGCUGGAAGAAGCCAUGGUGCUGAAGUUUAGAUUGUUCAGGAUUGAGCAUGGCGUUCAAGAUUGUGCUGACCUUGUUAAAUGUUUAUGUUGAUAUACGAAAUUAAAAGGCACCUUACCAUGAUCCAAGGACCAACCUCCGUUAUGCAAAUACUGAUGUCUUCAAACUCGUGAGAUCACUUCCAAAUGAGCAUGUGCAUAGGUAUCUUGCAUUGAGAAAUGCAGCCGUUACUCUGAAAUAACUUGCAAGAAUUCGCCUUGACAUGCUAGCCUGCUCCUGUUUCUGUUUCUGCUUCUGCAUGAGAUAGGGUAGAGCUGUUAAAUAGUUUAGCUCGAAGAGAUGCAUAUUUAUUGUUAUUUGUGAUCUGUACUGUGGUGAGAGUAAACAUGAUUAAUUGCACCGACUAUGUUUUGGAAUUUGUAGGAAUGUCUCCCCUCUCCCCUUUUCGCACGAGCUGAUUUGAUGUAAACCAAUCAUUGUCUGUAGCUCAGGUAACUGGAUCAUUUAUGGAUGUUGACCGUUUGGCAGGCUUGCUAUAGCUUGCAGUUCAUAGGUUCUUGAAUUGUGCAUGGCAUUAAAAACUAGUGCAAUUGGCUAUGAAAUCAUCUCCAUCCUGGCUCCCAACA